AGAAUCAACGCUGGCGGCGUGCCUAACACAUGCAAGUCGAACGAGAAAGUGGAGCAAUCCAUGAGUAAAGUGGCGCACGGGUGAGUAACACGUGACUAACCUACCCUUGAGUGGGGAAUAACCUCGGGAAACCGGGCUAAUACCGCAUAACACCUACGGGUCAAAGGAGCAAUUCGCUUAAGGAGGGGGUCGCGGCAGAUUAGUUAGUUGGCGGGGUAAUGGCCCACCAAGACGGUGAUCUGUA
rnacentral:rRNA from 1 species